AUUGAACGCUGGCGGCAGGCCUAACACAUGCAAGUCGAACGGUAACAGGAAGCAGCUUGCUGCUUCGCUGACGAGUGGCGGACGGGUGAGUAAUGUCUGGGAAGCUGCCUGAUGGAGGGGGAUAACUACUGGAAACGGUAGCUAAUACCGCAUAAUGUCGCAAGACCAAAGAGGGGGACCUUCGGGCCUCUUGCCUUCGGAUGUGCCCAGAUGGGAUUAGCUUGUUGGUGGGGUAACGGCUCACCAAGGCGACGAUCCCUAGCUGGUCUGAGAGGAUGACCAGCCACACUGGAACUGAGACACGGUCCAGACUCCUACGGGAGGCAGCAGUGGGGAAUAUUGCACAAUGGGCGCAAGCCUGAUGCAGCCAUGCCGCGUGUAUGAAGAAGGCCUUCGGGUUGUAAAGUACUGUCAGCGGGGAGGAAGGGAGUAAAGUUAAUACCUUUGCUCAUUGACGUUACCCGCAGAAGAAGCACCGGCUAACUCCGUG
rnacentral:rRNA from 1 species